CGCGGCCUAUCAGCUUGUUGGAGAGGUAACGGCUCACCAAGGCAUCGACGGGUAGCUGGUCUGAGAGGAUGAUCAGCCACACUGGGACUGAGACACGGCCCAGACUCCUACGGGAGGCAGCAGUGGGGAAUCUUGCACAAUGGGCGCAAGCCUGAUGCAGCAACGCCGCGUGCGGGAAGAAGGCCCUAGGGUUGUAAACCGCUUUCAGUAGGGAAGAAAAUGACGGUACCUACAGAAGAAGGUGCGGCCAACUACGUGCCAGCAGCCGCGGUGACACGUAGGCACCAAGCGUUAUCCGGAUUUAUUGGGCGUAAAGAGCUCGUAGGCGGUUCAGUCAGUCGGGUGUGAAAACUUGAGGCUUAACCUCAAGAGGCCACCCGAUACUACUGUGACUCGAGUGCGGUAGGGGAGCGGGGAAUUCCUGGUGUAGCGGUGAAAUGCGCAGAUAUCAGGAGGAACACCAGUGGCGAAGGCGCCGCUCUGGGCCGUAACUGACGCUGAGGAGCGAAAGCAUGGGUAGCAAACAGGAUUAGAUACCCUGGUAGUCCAUGCCGUAAACGUUGGGCACUAGGUGUGGGUCUCAACCAACGAGAUCCGCGCCGUCGCUAACGCAUUAAGUGCCCCGCCUGGGGAGUACGG
rnacentral:rRNA from 1 species